UACGAAGGGGGCUAGCGUUGCUCGGAAUCACUGGGCGUAAAGGGUGCGUAGGCGGGUCUUUAAGUCAGGGGUGAAAUCCUGGAUCUCAACUCCAGAACUGCCUUUGAUACUGGCGAUCUCGAGUUCGGGAGAGGUGAGUGGAACUGCGAGUGUAGAGGUGAAAUUCGUAGAUAUUCGCAAGAACACCAGUGGCGAAGGCGGCUCACUGGCCCGAUACUGACGCUGAGGUGCGAAAGCGUGGGGAGCAAACAGG
rnacentral:rRNA from 1 species